UAAUUUGUGUUUGGCAGUAAAAGCAUUCCUACCAGUGGCUUAAUAUUCUUAUUGAAGGAUUUCAUUUUUGGUUUCUUCCUGUGCAGGUUGAUAGUUGGAUUGUUGAAAAGAUUAGUUUACUGCCAAACCCAAAUCUGCAAGAAAGCUGUUGCAGGGAACAAGAAGUGACACUAAUCAGGUUCAACUCUCUGGCUGCAACAAAUGGCUCAGAAGACUAUGGAAUAGAAUCUUACUGUUUGUCAGAUGUUGGAUUCGUUGUUGUGGCUGCUAAGCUUGAAAAGCUGAGCUUAAUGUGGUGCUCUACUAAAUGCGGGGCUGAGGUCUAUAGCUAAAAAAUAUACGUGAUUGAAGUCUUUAGAUUUACAGGUAAUCCUGUUCUCAGUAUUUCUCUGAUUAAUUAAAACCCUAAUCCAUUUUCUACUUUCUUAUUUUUGCUGCUGAAUCAAAACUUGUGAAAUCAGUUUCAUCGUUUGUGUUUAGUCUCAGUAAUUCUUUAGGAUUUACAGUGUUCAGGUUAGUAUUGUUCUCUGCUAUUUUUCUUUUGUUUGUUCUUCAUUUAUGUUGCUUUUUGCUCGACAGUUUUCUUCUGCUUGUGUUUUCUCCUCCGUUUCUUCCCCAUUACCUGAUUUUCUUGACAGAAAAUGACUUUUGAUCUGGUCUUCUUGCUUUUCGUUUUUCGUUUUUCAUCAGAAGUUGUAUUCAACUACUGUGUAUAAUUGAAUGUUCUCACUUGGAUCUCAAGGUUGUUUCAUUCCAGAUUCUUUCCGCAUGCAAAAUUUUACAAGAAAUUUUUUAAGUAAUUGCUAGCUUCAAUUGGACAUUUUUUAACGAGAAUUUCAAUCUUACAGUGGGGGUUUAACUGCUGCUACGUACGACAUAGUAGUAGGAUUUUGCGUUUCAUUAGUACAGUUAUAAUGAUACUACUAUUUAAAUAUCAAAAAUCGAAUCGUUAUGGAGUUAAAAUUUCCUAUUAAUUUCAGUGUAUAUGAUCGUGCUGUGAUUAAAUUUAGAGGAUCUACUGCAAAUAUCAAUUUCAAUGUCAGUUAUUAUCACAAUGAUCUAAAGCAGGAAACUGAGUUUCAUUCUUUGUUAUUGUCUCGUGACAUGUCAAACUUUACAAAGGAAGAGUUUGUGCACAUACUUCAUGUCAGAACACUUGUUUCUCUUGAGGAGGUUCGAAAUACAGGGUAGUUACGCUCCACAAGUGUGGACGAUGGGAGGCUCGGAUGGGCAGUUUCGCGGAAAGAAGGCUUAUGUCUAGGCUGCUAUAAAAUGCAACGGAGGAGAGGCAGUCACAAAUUUUGAGCUAAGCACAUAUGAAGGGGAAUUAAGUACUGAUGCUGAUAAUGGAGGUAGUGCAAGCCAUAAUCCAGAUCGGAACUUGGCCCUCUCUAUUUAGCUGAUGACCAGCAUGGCAACACAUGCCAAAUGGAAAACUGUGAAUUUCAGUAUGCCUCAUAUAGUUUGCCUGAAUAUAGAGGAACCAUGGUCUUUGUGGGUGGCUUAUGUAUCAGCACAAGAUCCUUGCUAAUAAGGAUUGUGACGUGAUCAAUCCAGGUGAAAACUAUGUUUGGAUUCAAAAUUAUCAUCUCAUGAUUUUUGCCUACUUUAAGCAGAAUAUAAUAGAAUAAAAGUUGAUUUUUUCCUUUAUAGUCCUUUGUCAUCAUCUGAAUAUACUUGUAAAGCAAAAUCUCACGAAUGAUGUGAAGUUUUCUUACUUAGUUUUUUACUAAAGUGCUAGCUAGCCUUAGAAGGGCUUUCAAGUAACAAGCUGCCAUUCCUCACUCAAAUAUGUAAUUUGUUUUCUCCCGGAUUGUUUAGAAAGUUUAAGUUCAAGCCUACAAUACAGAGGCAAUAACUCCCGCAGGACACAAAGAUAUAGCACCCGGAAGUACAAAGUAAAUCUAAGAAUUGUACAGGUAUAUUUUUGUCAUACGCUGCUAAGAAGAACGCUGCAAAGGAGGCAAAAUGUGGGACGGAAAACACACCACCGUUUUCAAAAUGUAAACAACAUAGCCUGUAAAUAGUUUUUCAUAUGUGAUAUGAAUAAUGCAGCCAUGGAUGUAAACAAUAUAACACGUGCCAAGUGCCAACUAUAUAAUUUCGUGAAUCAAUACUCUUAUCCCAGAGUUGUGUAAAUAA